GAAUCUGUUUUGUGUGGUCCUCGAUUUAGCACACUCUCCAAAUAUAGAAAAUCGCCCACCUUUGUGCGGACGUGAAGGAGUGCCUUGUACACCCUGCAGAUGAAACACAAGUUCACUUUUGAUAUUCACAUAUUAGUACCCCAUAAAUUUAUCUCGUUUUUAAAUCCAGAUUUAGCCCACUUUUCCUUUCGACUGCCAGAUAGUCGCAUUGACAACCGAUCGUGGCGAGAAAAGAUGGAAACGAACCAGCCCGGGCCCGUUUUGCCAACUCUACCGAAUAAUAAUAAUGAUGUGCUACGCGACUAUGGGUACGGGAAUAAUGGGCUCAGUCUAGAUUAAAAAUCAAAACAAAUGAUUGGGUAUAAAUUUGGACUGAAAAACAGAAGAGCCUACCUUUCUUCUUCCAUGAGGUCUGCGGUUAUUCCAACAGAACAAGCCGCUGCAACCGCCUGCCCCGGUACUAGAUUCAUAUCCCCUGCAGAAGAAUAAAGGAAAUGAGAAGACAAUGACAGGGAAGGAACAAUUCUCACUUUACUUUUCUGGGUUUAGAACAGAUAAGAAACCUAAGCUCCAUAAGCUUGUUUCAGAAAUUUGGAAUUAUUAAAACUGACUUACAUAUUAUCUUUGGUGAAGUUAUCUGGGAAGCUGGUAUUAUGCAGCAAGCUCGGAGAUAUGGGUGCUGCAAGGGCACAUCCAGAGAAUCCUUCGAUUUCGGAUGAUCUAUGCCAUCCUGCGGCAACACUUGAUUCCUUUCUGGUUUCAAAUGGCUCAAUGAUCCAGUGGCGCCUUUGUCCAUUGCCUGCAGCCAUGCAGUCUCCAACCGUUGCUCAUGGAUGAUGGAUUCAAUUCUCCGCAAAGGAAGAUCUGACUUGCCAUCUUCUGAGUGAGCAGCAACCAUAAAGGGUGAUGGAGAACCUGAUUUUUCAAGUGCAAAUUGUGCAUCUGUGUUCUGCUUGGGGACUGUAGCUUCUCUAAGCAUACUUAUGUGCUCCUGGUCAGUUACCUUUGAACUCUGUCGUCGACUACUGGUGGACUGAGUUCGAUCAGGAGAAGAUAGAGAACCUAAUUGUAAUAGGGUUGCCGUGAACCAGGUUGAUCGUUCAGUUGAAACUCUGAGAUGCUUUUCUGCCUCAGAUAGUAGAGUUAAAGCAUGCUUAAGUCUGUCCAAUUCCCUUUCA